AGGCAAGGCCAUUUAUCGAUGGUGGAUGCAGAAUUUCAAUACCUCAGGAAAGCAAGGCCAUUUACCGAUGGCGGCUUUACUGGAAACUUGAUAUUUACCGAUAUCAAUGUCAGCGAGGCCAUUUACCGAUGGCAGCUGGGAAACAACAUCCAAAGGAAGCGGGACCAUUUACCGAUGGUGGCUUCAACUGGGAAUUUGAUAUAAAGGAAGCAAGACCAUUUACCGAUGGUGGCUUCAAAACGAAUUUUGAUAUUUACCGAUAUCAAAGUC
rnacentral:lncRNA from 1 species